CCUGGACACACCCUAUUGCAGAUUGCGCUCAGUCAAGGCUGUAUAAAAUUGCCAUUCCUAAAGCACAAUGGGAACUUUAUCACAGAAUACUGGAAAGUCCUGUGUUCUCUCCAGGCAAGUGUCAAACUGUUCAAAAUGGCUUGACUAUAUUGGGACAGUACAAGGGGACUCUGAGCACCAUAACCACUAACCACUAGAAAGCACUGUAAUAAAUAUGGGCUUAGCGUGCCCCUAUAAAUUAAUAUUUGCAUUGGUUGUCUUCUUUAAAUAUCUUGGCAUGUUAGUGAAGAUUCAUCUAAAUUCCAAAAAUAAGUACUCUGUUCAGAAACUAAGCCUAUGGCAAAGAAAUAGAGUGUAAGAAAAAUGCUAAUACCCCAUUUGUUCCGGGAGUGGAACAGGACUCUGUGACUUGACCACACAAGUGUCCACCUUUCCUGCCCAGUUUACUUACCCUCUACUCUGUUUGACCUGUGAAUUUUGCGAUUUAUAAUUUUAAUUUUGUUUUGCCAAAUUAAUUUUUGAAAAUGGCACUGCUUAUAUGAUGCUGUCAACGGGCACAGCUGCAAUUUAAUAUUACAUUGUGAAGCUUCUGCCUUAUGUGGGCGUAUUUGUUAUUCACCGUUUUACUGUCCAUUCCCCCCGAUCCUCCCCAUUCCCCAUCGGUUAAGGGGGUAUAUAAAUCUCUCUCUAGAGGCUUGGUUCAUAAAUAUUUGUCAAUCACUCCCUGUCACUAACAACAGCUUUGCCUUACAAAAUUUGUCGAUCCGAACCAGUUUAGCUGGACCAAGUUUAUAAGGGUUGCUCAUAUAUUUUAUAUCGGUUAUUUCGCUCUCAUUCCCAUAAGAGUGGUGUCUAUUUUACUUCCUUCAUUUGCCGGUUUUAUUGUGUUUAUAAUUCUGACCACCUAUACAUGUUCUUCAUGUUCAUUUAUUUCUAAAAAUAAAUAAAUGUGCAG